GUGGUAUGGAAUGUAUGAUCUUUAUUAAUUUUUAAUCCAUCAAUCUAAAAUCACACAUACUAGAUCAAACAGAAGUACCACAGUAUGCUUUAUUUUGCAGGUAUUAAUUGGUUCUCUAAAUCGAUACAUCCAAAACUUUAGUUAGCAGCAAGCAUCAGUUCUUCCAAAGCAGCUUAGGUGAAAAACAAUUGUUUACAUUCACCAGUUCAAAGUCGUACUGUCUGAUCCACUGUUGUAUUGACAUAAAAUUGAACUCAGUAGGCAAAGCUAAUUGAACACUCAGCUCAUAGAUUUUGAGCUUCCUUUAUCUUAUUGGAGUUGAAGCAGUUUUUAACCCUCUGUUAAUAUUCUCUAUUUUAAUUCUCAAAGAAUUAAACACACAUAUUUUCUAAUUAAUUAAGAUAGAGCCAUGAUAACUAUUGAGGAAUUAGUGAUAUUAGUCUCAUACCCAAAAGGUAGAACACUUUUAAAUGAACCCAUAAUUUUGAAUGUAUCUGAAUUUCCAGUUUAUAUGCUUAGCAAGGUCACAAGCUGAUUUUAUUAAUCUGGCUUCUAGAUAAUCAUCUCAAAAAUAUGUAUUGAAACAAAGCCACUGUUUUUUAUGAUGACAUCAUUUUAACCAAAUGCUUUUAUAACAAAUAAGCAGUUGUUCUCAAAAGAGAACAUUUUAAAAGAAAACAUUCUUUACAAACAAAGUAUAUAGAGUUUUUGUUUUCAGUGCAGGAUAAAUGAACCUUCUUAACAAGUUAAGGCUCUGAGGGAAAAAAACUUUCUAAACCAUAACCUUAAUAAACCAUAACCCAUACAGGUGUUCCAAAUCAACACCUUUUUUAAAAAAAGCUGGAGGUCUUACUUCAUCCUUCAGUAUAAAUGUCAAGUCUGAGAUAAUCAGUAUAUUCCAAACUCUAGAACAACAACAACAAAAAAAGAAAUCUCCUUGUUAAAAUAUAGUAGCUA
rnacentral:lncRNA from 1 species